rnacentral:rRNA from 1 species
CCUACGGGUGGCAGCAGUAGGGGAUCUUCCACAAUGGGCGAAAGCCUGAUGGAGCAACGCCGCGUGGGUGAAGAAGGUCUUCGGAUCGUAAAACCCUGUUGGUAGAGAAGAAAGUGCGUGAGAGUAACUGUUCAAGCUUCGACGGUAUCUGACCAGAAAGCCACGGCUAACUACGUGCCAGCAGCCGCGGUAAUACGUAGGGGGCAAGCGUUAUCCGGAUUUAGUGGGCGUAAAGGGAACGGAGACGGUCUUGUAAGACUGGUGUGAAAGCCUUGGGCUUAACCGGAGUAGUGCACUGGAAACUGGGAGACUUGAGUGCAGGAGGGGAGAGUGGAACUCCAGGUGUAGCGGUGAAAUGCGUAGAUAUAUGGAGGAACACCAGUGGCGAAGGCGGCUCUCUGGUCUGUAACUGACGCUGAGGUUCGAAAGCGUGGGUAGCAAACAGGAUUAGAUACCCGUGUAGUC